rnacentral:rRNA from 1 species
CCUUGGUGGGUUCGCCCACCACUAGGACAAACAUAAACCUUUUGUAAUUGCAAUCAGCGUCAGUAACAAAUUAAUAAUUACAACUUUCAACAACGGAUCUCUUGGUUCUGGCAUCGAUGAAGAACGCAGCGAAAUGCGAUAAGUAGUGUGAAUUGCAGAAUUCAGUGAAUCAUCGAAUCUUUGAACGCACAUUGCGCCCUUUGGUAUUCCAAAGGGCAUGCCUGUUCGAGCGUCAUUUGUACCCUCAAGCUUUGCUUGGUGUUGGGCGUCUUGUCUCUAGCUUUGCUGGAGACUCGCCUUAAAGUAAUUGGCAGCCGGCCUACUGGUUUCGGAGCGCAGCACAAGUCGCACUCUCUAUCAGCAAAGGUCUAGCAUCCAUUAAGCCUUUUUUUCAACUUUUGACCUCGGAUCAGGUAGGGAUACCCGCUGAACUUAAGCAUAUCAAUAA